rnacentral:misc_RNA from 1 species
GAUGAAGAACGUAGCGAAAUGCGAUAAGUAAUGUGAAUUGCAGAAUUCAGUGAAUCAUCGAAUCUUUGAACGCACAUUGCGCCCGCCAGUAUUCUGGCGGGCAUGCCUGUUCGAGCGUCAUUUCAACCAUCAAGCCCUGCUUGCGUUGGGGUCCUGCGGCUGCCCGCAGGCCCUGAAAACCAGUGGCGGGCUCGCUAGUCACACCGAGCGCAGUAAUACAUCUCGCUUUGGGCGUGCGGCGGGUUCUUGCCGUUAAACACCCCCUUUUUACCAAGGUUGACCUCGGAUCAGGUAGGAAUACCCGCUGACCUUAAGCAUAUCAAUAAGCGGAGGA